AUUGACAAUGUGCUGGGUCCUAUUUGGGUACUGGGAGAGAAUGGCUCAUGUGUCCUGAGAAAUAAGAUUUGGGUGAGGAUAACAUCUGGACAGAUGAGGUCUUCCCUGAGCUCCUUGGAGGAAGAAAAUGACAUAAAUAUAAUGAUGAUGUCCAUGUUUGGUGGCAGAGGAUUUCCUUUGUAUGUAAAAAGACCCCAGCUCACUGACAUGUCCAGCGAAAGGCUGUCAGACUUUUGCCUGAGACUUCGGGAAGCAAAAGCAGGGAUGCAGAGACACCAUCUGAGAAAAAUCUUUUUAGGAUGAACCCUGAUGUUCCUCUUUCUUAUUUCACUUUGAGGAAAUUUCAGUCCCAGUCAGGAAAGCAGAGGGCUGG